AAUAUUUCGCAAUGGAGGAAACUCUGACGCAGCGACGCCGCGUGAGCGAUGAAGGUCUUCGGAUCGUAAAGCUCUGUCCUAAGGGAAGAAACGGACGGUACCUAAGGAGGAAGCCCCGGCUACCUACGUGCCAGCAGCCGCGGUAAUACGUAGGGGGCAAGCGUUGUCCGGAAUUAUUGGGCGUAAAGGGUGCGUAGGCGGCCUUUUAAGUCAGAUGUGAAAGCCCACGGCUUAACCGUGGGACUGCAUUUGAAACUGGAGGGCUUGAGUAUCGGAGAGGGUAGUGGAAUUCCCAGUGUAGCGGUGGAAUGCGUAGAUAUUGGGAGGAACACCAGUGGCGAAGGCGACUACCUGGACGAAAACUGACGCUGAGGCACGAAAGCUAGGGGAGCAAACA
rnacentral:rRNA from 1 species